rnacentral:lncRNA from 1 species
UCUCUUCCAUAUCUUUCACCCACGCUUCGUAGUCCCCACCCGGAUAUCGAAUCCGGGUUUGGACCGACUCUUUCGGGUCGAGUAUAUCGACCCGAAACGGUGAUGACAAGAACCAUCCUGAUUUACCUUUCUCUGUUUCCAUCUCUUGUACCUUCGAGUAUAUAAUCUCUCCUCUGUAGUAUAAAUCAACGGCUGAGAUUAAUCCCGUCGGUGGAUCAUGUUUUUCAGACUGCCACGUGUGUUCAGUGAACGGGUACGAGUCAGCAAAGAAAGAACGGUAACCGGAAGGGAAAGAGGAGAUAGCUUGGACAACACGUGGAUCAUUGAUCGAAGGCCACGUGUCGAUGGAGAGUUCUUGC